AUGCCGGUGGUUCUUUGGUCGAUCAGGACGACGCCAAAUCGAGCCACUGGCCAGACACCUUUCGCUCUAGUCUAUGGAGCAGAGGCAGUUCUCCCAAUGGAACUCGUAUACGGGUCACCUCGAGUGCUCGCUUAUGAUGAGCUUGAGCAAGAGCAGCUUCGACAAGAUGACGCGCUGCUCCUUGAGGAGGACCGUCUUCAGGCUGCUGUACGAGCUGCUCGAUACCAGCAAGCUUUGCGCCGCUACCAUAGCCGCAAAUUUAAUGCCAGAAGUCUUGAGGAAGGCGACCUUGUUCUUCGGCGCGUUCAGUCCGCCAAGAAUUCCAACAAGUUGACACCAAAGUGGGAAGGCCCUUACCGGGUGAAACGAGUCACUAGGCCUGGCGCUGUCCGCAUUGAGACCGAAGAUGGCAUUCCGGUGAGCAACUCCUGGAACAUUGAGCAUCUUCGUAAGUUUUACCCGUAG
rnacentral:rRNA from 1 species